rnacentral:lncRNA from 1 species
AGGAGUCGCCAGGGCUGCGUAGGCUUGUGGCGCGCCCGCGGAGAGGCCGGGGCUCUGACGCCCGCUCUGCGGCUUCGGUGUUUGAACAGGCCACAGUCCAGGAGCGCUUACAUUCAGGAGCUCCGCGUAGCACCUGCCCAACCAAACUCAGCCCUCCGUUAAGAUCCUGGUUCCAUGCCGCAGUAGGACAGCAGGCCCAAGUCUGCACAUCCCAGUGAUGCACCAUGCCAAUAGUGGAUAAGUUGAAGGAGGCCCUGAAACCCGGCCGCAAGGACUCGGCUGAUGAUGGAGAACUGGGGAAGCUUCUUGCCUCCUCUGCCAAGAAGGCAGUGAGCACACGUAUGAGAGCUGUGGUGACGGAGUCCCAGCCCCGCAGAAAGUGCUUUUCCCCACGGAGCGACUGUCUCUGAGGUGGGAGCGGGUCUUCCGCGUGGGCGCAGGACUCCACAACCUUGGCAACACCUGCUUUCUCAAUGCCACCAUCCAGUGCUUGACCUACACACCACCUCUAGCCAACUACCUGCUCUCCAAGGAGCAUGCUCGCAGCUG